AUAUUUCUUUGGUAAAUGAUAAAUAAUCUGGACAGUUGCAGAAUAUUAGUGUAUAAUACUUAUAAUAUUAUUUAGGGGUUAUUGUCAAAAGAGGAUGUUUUUUGAUAAAAAUUUUGAUUUUGAGGCUUUUGUGUAUGAUCUUUGAAAAAGAGUAGUUUUGAUAGGGCGAUUUGAUCAUUUUACCCCUGAAUAAUCUCAUCAUCUUCUCUCAUCAUCUUCUUGCACGCUCCUCUUCUUUUAAAUCCAAUUUUUUUUCCAAAUCUCAUAUUCUUAAAAUCUAUUCUAACUAAAAACAUUCAUUGAUUCACAAUAAUUAAACCCUAAAGAUGAUAGUAUUUAUGAAACCAAAGCAAAAAAUUAAACGAACGAAAUGAAAUCAUCUUGCAAAUGAAGAAGAAGGUGAAUAGUAAAAACAGAGUUUCAGAUUUGUGGCAGAUCUGCAAUCGAGUAUUCGAAAUCAAAGCUUUUCAAUAAUCAUUUGCGUCCUCACUAUUCACCAUUAAUGAUAUUUUGUUUAUUGGAAGAGAAUUCCAUUCAAAAACUAAACCCUAAUGAUUAUUGUAAAGGGAACCCAAGCAAAAAAAAUCAAACGCACAUUGAUAAGUUUCUGAGAUAGAAUCUGAUGAUAAAGAGGAAGAUCAGAGAAAAGAAAAAGAAACUGAGCCAUCUCUCUCAUGAUUCACGGCCGCCGACGCCGUUCGUUACCAUUGAAGGAGCUCAUCUUAAGGGACAAAACCAAUCAACUAUCGUCACCGGAGCUAGCCCCGCUUCAAUCACGUUGUAAAAAAUCAAUUGAUCUGCAGAGAGAGAAAGAGAUUUGAUGGAAACGGAGACAGAUCCAGUUGUUAAUGGCGAUGAUGAUGGCGUCGGUGGUUACGUUGGUGAUGAUGAUGAUGAGGGUUGAUAACGACGACGACGACAACACAAAAAAGUCAUACAAUUUUUAUUUGUUUUUGUGGUUUUUUAGACAAAU
rnacentral:sRNA from 1 species